UACAGAGGGGGCAAGCGUUGUUCGGAAUUACUGGGCGUAAAGGGCGCGUAGGCGGCCUUCUAAGUCGAACGUGAAAUCCCUGGGCUCAACCCAGGAACUGCGUCCGAUACUGGGAGGCUUGAAUCCGGGAGAGGGAUGUGGAAUUCCAGGUGUAGCGGUGAAAUGCGUAGAUAUCUGGAGGAACACCGGUGGCGAAGGCGGCGUCCUGGACCAACACUGACACUGAGGAGCGAAAGCCAGGGGAGCAAACGGG
rnacentral:rRNA from 1 species